CCUACGGGAGGCAGCAGUGGGGAAUUUUGGACAAUGGGGGCAACCCUGAUCCAGCAAUGCCGCGUGAGUGAAGAAGGCCUUCGGGUUGUAAAGCUCUUUUGUCAGGGAAGAAACAGCAGCUCUAACACAGUCUGCGAAUGACGGUACCUGAAGAAUAAGCACCGGCUAACUACGUGCCAGCAGCCGCGGUAAUACAUAGGGUGCAAGCGUUGUCCGGAAUUAUUGGGCGUAAAGAGCUCGUAGGUCGUUUGUUACGUCGGAUGUGAAAACCUGAGGCUCAACCUCAGGCCUGCAUUCGAUACGGGCAAACUAGAGUUUGGUAGGGGAGACUGGAAUUCCUGGUGUAGCGGUGGAAUGCGCAGAUAUCAGGAGGAACACCAAUGGCGAAGGCAGGUCUCUGGGCCAAUACUGACACUGAGGAGCGAAAGUCUGGGGAGCGAACAGGAUUAGAUACCCUGGUAGUCCAGACCGUAAACGGUGGGCACUAGUUGUGGGAACCUUCCACGGUUUCUGCGACGCAGCUAACGCAUUAAGUGCCCCGCCUGGGGAGUACGAUCGCAAGAUUAAAACUCAAAGGAAUUGACGG
rnacentral:rRNA from 1 species